GGGGAGAUAGCUUGACAGGUAGAGUGCAGAACUUGUAUGCCUGAGGCCCCAGGUUCCAAGCCUGGUGUUACCA
rnacentral:tRNA from 1 species